rnacentral:rRNA from 1 species
AGCGAACGCUGGCGGCAGGCUUAACACAUGCGAGUCGAACGGGCUUCUUCGGAAGUCAGUGGCAGACGGGUGAGUAACACGUGGGAACGUGCCCUUCGGUUCGGAAUAACUCAGGGAAACAUGAGCUAAUACCGGAUACGCCCUUUUGGGGAAAGGUUGACAGCCGAAGGAUCGGCCCGCGUCUGAUUAGCUUGGUGGUGGGGUAACGGCCUACCAAGGCGACGAUCCGUAGCUGGUCUGAGAGGAUGAUCAGCCACACUGAGACUGAGACACGGCCCAGACUACUCCGGGAGGCAGCAGUGGGGAAUAUUAGACAACGGGCGCAAGCCUGAUCCAGCCAUGCCGCGUGAGUGAUGAAGGCCUUAGGGUUGUAAAGCCCUUUUGACCGGGACGAUAAUGACGGUACCGGAAGAAUAAGCCCCGGCUAACUUCGUG